GAAGUCGUCAAGCAUGUGGCCACCUGUUAGUGCUCAGGGAAAACAUUACCUGAGACAGUGAGAGGUGCAGGCAGUAAACAAACAAUGAGCGGAUGGCGAGCUGAUGGACUGCAUUGAGGGAGGCCGCUACAACACAGCAGCGCGGUUACCACGUGACAUCGCGCUGACGAGCCACGUGACCCGACGUGUGGAAGUUGUGGCGGGCAGUGCAGUGCCAGAGCCUCAGACCACUUGCUCUGCACCGACAAACACUAAGUUGAUAACAAGAUCGUGCAGACAUAAUGAAAUAACCGCGGGUGCAAAUGGCUGCGGGCGGAAAGAUCAAAAGGAUGAGGACCAGGCGCCGAUAGUGUGAUAGAGUUCGUCCUCGCAAUGGCUGGUCAAGCUUCCGCUAGUGUAAGGCCUUGUAAAGUAAAAUUAUUUCUUACACGUGAAAUAAAUGUCACUUGUAGUAAUGUGUAAUCAUAUUGCAGAAUGAUAAUAAACAAAGAACUGUUGCCAAAAAGUUUGAUUGGGGUGUCAGAAGCCCUCGCCGGUUACAGUAAGCACAAAAUUAACUCGGAGGGCAGAAGGAAGUGGGGUGGAGAAAGAAAACCACGUGUUGUGUUGGUCAUCAGGACACGUGUAGUAUUCACCGUCUGGAGCCGGACACAUGCACCAUUCAUCGUGGGGAUCAGUGGAUCACAUCAUCUGCACUUCGAUGAUGUCGGCUUCUGCUGCAAAGGACCACUGGAUGACAGAAAGUGGACUAGCGAGGCGACUGACAGUUCCAAGAUAUGCUGCUACACUGGGGUACACUAUACACAGCGGUGUACACUGGGGUACACUGUACAUAAGUGAUGUACACUAGGGUACACUGUACACAAGCGGUGUACACUGGGGUACACAGUAUACAAGCGGCGUACACUAGGGUACACUGUACAUAAUUAACUAUUUCAACACUAUUUUACUCCUCACUUUUACUUCUAACUGUGUGUUAAAUGUCUGUAUGGGUAUGUGAGCAAAGACAAAUUUCUGCCCUGGGUCUCCUGGGCAGACAAUAAAGUCUGUUUUGAUUUGAUUUGAUUUGAUUUAAGUGGUUUACACUGUGGUAAUCUGUACAUAAGCAGUGAGUGUCAUGACAUGUGUAGAGCUAAUUACGAGGUCAUUACUGUAAUGGUGUCAGCUUGCUUCAUACAAAGUCUGCUCCAGCCCAAGAUGAAGAGCAGAACAGCUGUUGUAGAACAUUCAAGAAGAAAGUGGAACUCGCUGCGUGGUGCGGUGUCUCCUGAAGGAUUUAUUCUGGAUGAAAAUGCGACGAGACCAUUUAUUCUUGCUGUUACUGCCAUUGGGGAGGAGUUUUUCAAGUUCCUUCGUGACCGUUGAUUAAGAAUAAUCGCGCGUGUGAUUUGUGUGGUAGUGAUACAACAUUGCAGACAACUGUUACGUUGUCAGUACUUCCACACCUGAGCGAGUGACAAGAACCGUAUGCUCAAACUGAGCUGACCAGCUGUUGUCUGUAGUUACAGCUGUCCACCCAUCCUGUAAGAUCCGUAUCUCAGGGGAUCCCAUGCAGAUGAUUGGCUCUGCAGCAUAAUCAAUAUUUAUGUUAUCCAAGACAGGUUGUAUCCUGGCUUUUGUGGGUACCAAGGCCGGCGUCAGCAAGAUUGUAUUAAACGCUCACUCGCCAAGCCAUUACCAAAGCAAAGACCACGAAUGCCCUCGUAACUGCCAGGUGAAAAUCAGUUGCCUUAAAUUUGCACGCUUGCCAGACAUAGCAGUAGCUACUCGUUGUCACUGACAACUAUUUUCUUGUGUAAUUACUAUGCAUGUAUUCCAAAAGUAGACCUUUUGAUUAAUCAAAUUGAAACAGUAACCUCCCCAAUUAUUAAGUACUGUCACGUACAAAAUCCACACAUUAGGGAUGUCAGUCAUGAAGGCUAACCCACUGCUUUUCAGUAUUAUACAUCAGUGCAACUCUCAUGUCCUAGCCAUAUGCAGCUGAAAACAUACAAUUUCUUUUCUGAAACUGCACAAUACUUUCAACACAGAAUUUUGAUACAACAAAUUUUUCAAUAUUUUUUUUCACCAAAGCCCUAGUUGAUCCUAACUAGAGCUCAAUGUCAUGACAAAGCAACAAAAGGACUCAAUGUAACAAAUUUUUCAACGCAACAAAGUUCAAUUCCAAAGUAUUCAAUAAAAUAACAUUUCAUUACAAUUGUCUUGAGAAUGCCAGGAAUCAGACAUUCAUUUAAGCAACUGAUAGUUUGUUCUUAACGUUUUUGAGGUCCGAUCAGGUUAUUAUAGGUGGUGUGCCCACUUUGGAAGUCAACUGUAUCUAAAGUAGGAGGCUUUGCGCUUGUUUCCUUUCUGCAAAUGGCUACAUGUGAUAUAUUUUUCAAUUGUCUUUUUUUUUUUGAAAUGCACUCCUUGUGAUUUCCUUAAUUCAAAGUGUAUCUCAAUCUUUUCAGAGUGUUGUUCUAUUUACAUUAAUUUACACCUUAUAAUGUUUAUGAUGUAUUCAUAGUAAUUGCAAAAUGAGGGAAAUCAGAACAUGUCUGUAAUGUUUGGCUGGACAUUUCCUUAAAAGUAGUUAUCAUGGUAGUAAAAAAUUGGUACAGGCAUUCCAGUUGGACAGAGGAACCAUAUCUAAUUAUUGUAGCUAUUCUUAAAAACCAAUGUUCGAAAGAAUGCUUCACAUAAGGAUUCUUACACUACCUUCAACAUACAGACAUUCCUCACUUAACAAAAGACUACUGUUGCACAACUUGGUUAAUAAACAAACUGGCUGACCAAUAUUUCAGGCAGAAUGUCAUUGGGUUUGCAUGAACCAUCUUCAGAUAUUGUUUUAAUGUUACAUUUCCAUCACUAAUAAUAUUUUUAAUAUAUGUUCGUACAGAACUGCACUGUGAUGAACCUGAAGCCCUUUUUAAUGACCAAAUUGUCUAGAAGCGAAAGAAGAAAUCAGAACAGAAUUAUAACUGGACACCUGUUGCUUGGGAACCAGAUAACCUAGCCUGGAUGAAAAUGACUAGAGACUGUUGUCAGAGCUCUUCCUAACAGGUCUAACAUUGCAUGGAAGACAGUGGCGUAGCUUCCAUCUAAAAUUCCCCAGAUCCCCAAUCUAGAAACUCCCAAAGCUGCUCCUAUAUACCUCACUUCAUUCAAAAAUCUAUCAAAUCAGGCUUGAGUGAUGAGGACAAGCCAUGUGAUAAUGAUGAUCAAUAGCGUUUUUUAAACCUUCGCCAGAGAAUGUAAGACAACUUCUCCUGUUCUAGUGUAACUACCAACAAUAGGAAUGACCUUUGUGUCUGGAAGAUGCUCUGCUGACAACUUCCUCCAAAGAUCUGUCCAAACAAAAAUUACAGACUUUUUUUGUAAAACAGUAAGUUCUGGUUUCUCUUACUUUGCAACCAAUGCGAUAUAUGCCACUUUUAUGACUUGCUCUUUGUAAAAUAGAAUAAUUUCAAUUUAAAAUUGCGAAUAUUUUUGUUGUUUCAAAAUGAGUGAGAAAGCGAUGCUUUCAAACUUCUCACUCUUGUGUUUCCAUUUAGUUUUGUGUACUUUUGAAUGCUAAAGAAGAUUAAAGUACAAAAUGCUCACUGAAUGUAAAGAAUCUUAAUGUCAUGAAAUAUUCAAUAAAAACUAAAAAAAAGUUUUCUGUAGUCAGAAUUGAUUUGUUACAUGAAUAUCAAUGUACUUGUCCUU